AAAGAACGAGGGGGGCAUGCCUAACACAUGCAAGUCGAACGAGACCUUCGGGUCUAGUGGCGCACGGGUGCGUAACGCGUGGGAACCUGCCCUUAGGUUCGGAAUAACUCCCCGAAAGGGGUGCUAAUACCGGAUAAUGUCUUCGGACCAAAGAUUUAUCGCCUUUGGAUGGGCCCGCGUUGGAUUAGCUAGUUGGUAGGGUAAAAGCCUACCAAGGCGACGAUCCAUAGCUGGUCUGAGAGGAUGAUCAGCCACACUGGGACUGAGACACGGCCCAGACUCCUACGGGAGGCAGCAGUGGGGAAUAUUGGACAAUGGGCGAAAGCCUGAUCCAGCAAUGCCGCGUGAGUGAUGAAGGCCUUAGGGUUGUAAAGCUCUUUUACCCGGGAUGAUAAUGACAGUACCGGGAGAAUAAGCUCCGGCUAACUCCGUG
rnacentral:rRNA from 1 species